GAGGGUACGGCUCAGUGGUAGAGCACGUGCUUAGCAUGCACGAGGUCCUGGGUUCAAUCCCCAGUACCUCA
rnacentral:tRNA from 1 species